CAGCUGGUAUAUCCCCCAGGUAAACGGGAAUUCCGUCACGAGCGCCAGUUUGUCCACUGGUGCUUGGUAAGCCAUGCUUCUGAAAAAAAAAAAAAAGAAAGAAAGAAAUAGGCCGACUCCUAUGGC
rnacentral:lncRNA from 1 species